rnacentral:sRNA from 1 species
GAGCUGGGCGGAAGAAGGCGAGGCGGGAGCCAGGCCCGGCCCAGACCGCCGCGGCGCCGUGAGUCCCGGGCGGGCAAGGAGGCGCGGGCCGUCCCGGGCCAACACGUGGCACCGCUCCAUGCUGCGCGGCGCGGCUGGGGACCGUGACAAACACUCAUCGUUGGGUGGGGCUCUAGUGCAGUCCGUUGGUGCCAAUAUUUUAUAAGCGACGUUUUCAAACUAUGUGAAGAUCCUUUUCUUUUCUUUUGAGACGGAGGCUCGCUCUGUCGCCCGGG